AAAGGGUGAUUCUGGCUCAAGAUGAACGCUGGCGGCGUGCUUAACACAUGCAAGUCAAACGAAGCACUCUAUUUGAUUUUCUUCGGAAAUGAAGAUUUUGUGACUGAGUGGCGGACGGGUGAGUAACGCGUGGGUAACCUGCCUCAUACAGGGGGAUAACAGUUGGAAACGACUGCUAAUACCGCAUAAGCGCACAGGAUCGCAUGAUCCGGUGUGAAAAACUCCGGUGGUAUGGGAUGGACCCGCGUCUGAUUACCCAGUUGGCAGGGUAACGGCCUACCAAAGCGACGAUCAGUAGCCGACCUGAGAGGGUGACCGGCCACAUUGGGACUGAGACACGGACCACACUCCUACGGGAGGCGUCAGUGGGGAAUAUUGCACAAUGGGGGAAACCCUGAUGCAGCGACGCCGCGUGAGCGAAGAAGUAUUUCGGUAUGUAAAGCUCUAUCAGCAGGGAAGAAGAAUGACGGUACCUGACUAAGAAGCACCGGCUAAAUACGUGCCAGCAGCCGCGGUAAUACGUAUGGUGCAAGCGUUAUCCGGAUUUACUGGGUGUAAAGGGAGCGCAGGCGGUGCGGCAAGUCUGAUGUGAAAGCCCGGGGCUCAACCCCGGUACUGCAUUGGAAACUGUCGUACUAGAGUGUCGGAGGGGUAAGUGGAAUUCCUAGUGUAGCGGUGAAAUGCGUAGAUAUUAGGAGGAACACCAGUGGCGAAGGCGGCUUACUGGACGAUAACUGACGCUGAGGCUCGAAAGCGUGGGGAGCAAACAGGAUUAGAUACCCUGGUAGUCCACGCCGUAA
rnacentral:rRNA from 1 species